UACGUAGGUGGCGAGCGUUGUUCGGAUUGACUGGGCGUAAAGGGCGUGUAGGCGGUCGGCCAAGUCUGACGUGAAAGCCCGAGGCUCAGCCUCGGAAGUGCGUCGGAAACUAGUCGGCUGGAGCGCGAUAGAGGAGGGUGGAAUUCCUGGUGUAGCGGUGAAAUGCGUAGAUAUCAGGAGGAACACCGGCGGCGAAGGCGGUUCUCUGGGACGGUACUGACGCUGAGACGCGAAAGCGUGGGGAGCGAACAGG
rnacentral:rRNA from 1 species